GUUUUAAUAGUUUAAGUAAAACGCUAUUUUGUGGAAAUAGAGACAUAAGAUUAUUAUUUAAAACA
rnacentral:tRNA from 1 species